AUUGAACGCUGGCGGCAGGCCUAACACAUGCAAGUCGAACGAGUGGCGGACGGGUGAGUAAUGUCUGGGAAACUGCCCGAUGGAGGGGGAUAACUACUGGAAACGGUAGCUAAUACCGCAUACCAUCGGAUGUGCCCAGAUGGGAUUAGCUUGUAGGUGAGGUAACGGCUCACCUAGGCGACGAUCCCUAGCUGGUCGGAGAGGAUGACCAGCCACCCUGGAACUGAGACACGGUCCAGACUCCGACGUGAGGCAGCAGUGGGGAAUAUUGCACAAUGCGCGAAAGCCUGAUGCAGCCAUGCCGCGUGGAUGAAGAAGGCCUUCGGGUUGUAAAGUACUUUCAGCGGGGAAGCGGUACCCGCAGAAGAAGCAAAGGCGAACUCCGUGCCAGCAGCCGCGGGAAUUC
rnacentral:rRNA from 1 species